UACGAGGGGGGCGAGCGUUGUUCGGAAUUACUGGGCGUAAAGCGCACGUAGGCGGUUCGUUAUGUCGGAUGUGAAAGCCCUUGGCUUAACCGAGGAAGUGCAUCCGAAACUGGCGAGCUAGAGUACGAAAGAGGAUCGCGGAAUUCCCGGUGUAGAGGUGAAAUUCGUAGAUAUUGGGAAGAACACCGGUGGCGAAGGCGGCUCUCUGGACCGUAACUGACGCUGAGGCGCGAAAGCGUGGGGAGCAAACAGG
rnacentral:rRNA from 1 species